GAGAGCCUGAUCANCCAUGCCGCGUGCAGGAAGACUGCCCUAUGGGUUGUAAACUGCUUUUUUACGGGAAGAAACACCUCUACGUGUAGAGGCUUGACGGUACCGUACGAAUAAGGAUCGGCUAACUCCGUGCCAGCAGCCGCGGUAAUACGGAGGAUCCAAGCGUUAUCCGGAAUCAUUGGGUUUAAAGGGUCCGUAGGCGGGCAGCUAAGUCAGUGGUGAAAGUCUGUAGCUCAACUAUAGAAUUGCCAUUGAUACUGGUUGUCUUGAAUUAUUAUGAAGUGGUUAGAAUAUGUAGUGUAGCGGUGAAAUGCAUAGAUAUUACAUAGAAUACCAAUUGCGAAGGCAGAUCACUAAUAAUAUAUUGACGCUGAUGGACGAAAGCGUGGGGAGCGAACAGGAUUAGAUACCCUGGUAGUCCACGCCGUAAACGAUGGAUACUAGCUGUUCGAUCUUCGGAUUGAGUGGCUAAGCGAAAGUGAUAAGUAUCCCACCUGGGGAGUACGUUCGCAAGAAUGAAACUCAAAGGAAUUGACGGGGGCCCGCACAAGCGGUGGAGCAUGUGGUUUAAUUCGAUGAUACGCGAGGAACCUUACCAGGGCUUAAAUGUAGAUUGACAGGGGUGGAAACACCUUUUCCUUCGGGCAAUUUACAAGGUGCUGCAUGGUUGUCGUCAGCUCGUGCCGUGAGGUGUCAGGUUAAGUCCUAUAACGAGCGCAACCCCUGUUGUUAGUUGCCAGCGAGUCAUGUCGGGAACUCUAACAAGACUGCCGGUGCAAACCGUGAGGAAGGUGGGGAUGACGUCAAAUCAUCACGGCCCUUACGUCCUGGGCCACACACGUGCUACAAUGGUAGGUACAGAGAGCAGCCACUGGGUGACCAGGAGCGAAUCUAUAAAACCUAUCUCAGUUCGGAUCGGAGUCUGCAACUCGANUCCGUGAAGCUGGAAUCGCUAGUAAUCGGAUAUCAGCCAUGAUCCGGUGAAUACGUUCCCNGGCCUUGUACACACCGCCCGUCAGCCAU
rnacentral:rRNA from 1 species